rnacentral:rRNA from 1 species
UACAGGGGGUGCAAACGUUGCUCGGGAUCAUUGGGCGUAAAGCGCACGUAGGCGGUUCGUUAUGUCGGAUGUGAAAGCCCUUGGCUUAACCGAGGAAGUGCAUCCGAAACUGGCGAGCUAGAGUACGAAAGAGGAUCGCGGAAUUCCCGGUGUAGAGGUGAAAUUCGUAGAUAUCGGGAGGAACACCGGUGGCGAAGGCGGCGAUCUGGGUCGAUACUGACGCUGAGGUGCGAAAGCGUGGGGAGCAAACAGG